AAAGUACCUGGACCUCUAUGCCCAUGCUUCUAGCAGCCAGCCUCCUAAAAUACCUCUAGUUGAAGCCAAAGUUAGAAUCCUUCUAUGAAACUACAGGAUUAAAAUGGAAUGGUUACAUGACCCAGGCUUGACCAAUCAGAUCAUCCAAACCCUUUGCCACAGUGAUUGGUCCAGGGAUACAUGCAUGAGCCAGCUCAGGCCUAAGCCACACUCAUCUUGUGGAUGACACUGGAGCUGUGACAGUCUGUUCUGUCCAGGCUGGGUGUCUUUUAUUUUUAUUGGAAAUAAGAUUAUCACAGAAUUGCUGGCUGUUGAUACUCUUUCCCAUCAACUCCCCAAAUGGAAAUGCUUUCAACCACUGCAGAAGUAAAAAAUUACCCAAAGGCUGUAUGAUGCAAACUCUUUCUUUGGCUUUAUCUUACUGAUAAG
rnacentral:antisense_RNA from 1 species